rnacentral:rRNA from 1 species
UACGUAGGGUGCAAGCGUUGUCCGGAAUUAUUGGGCGUAAAGAGCUCGUAGGCGGCCUGUUGCGUCGGCUGUGAAAACCCGGGGCUCAACCCCGGGCCUGCAGUCGAUACGGGCAGGCUAGAGUCCGGCAGGGGAGACUGGAAUUCCUGGUGUAGCGGUGAAAUGCGCAGAUAUCUGCAGGAACACCCGUGGCGAAAGCGGCGAGCUGGACCACUACUGACGCUGAAGAACGAAAGCUAGGGGAGCAAACAGG